GUGGGGAAUAUUGGACAAUGGGCGCAAGCCUGAUCCAGCAAUGCCGCGUGGGUGAAGAAGGCCUUCGGGUUGUAAACUGCUUUUGUACGGAACGAAACGGUCCGGGUUAAUACCCUGGGCUAAUGACGGUACCGUAAGAAUAAGCACCGGCUAACUACGUGCCAGCAGCCGCGGUAAUACGUAGGGUGCAAGCGUUAAUCGGAAUUACUGGGCGUAAAGCGUGCGCAGGCGGUUUUGUAAGACAGGCGUGAAAUCCCCGGGCUCAACCUGGGAAUUGCGCUUGUGACUGCAAGGCUGGAGUGCGGCAGAGGGGGAUGGAAUUCCGCGUGUAGCAGUGAAAUGCGUAGAUAUGCGGAGGAACACCGAUGGCGAAGGCAAUCCCCUGGGCCUGCACUGACGCUCAUGCACGAAAGCGUGGGGAGCAAACAGGAUUAGAAACCCCUGUAGUCC
rnacentral:rRNA from 1 species